UUUUUUUUUUUUUUGCCUCUGUGCCUCAGUUUGUUUAAUUUCCAUUGACCCAUCUUCAAGUUCACCAAUUUUUUCCUUAGCUGUGUUGAGUCUGUGAAGAGUCAGCCACUGGUUUUAGCAGCAAGAACCAGCUCCAUACAUGGAAUAAAGUUGUAGCUGGAGGAACUGGUCAUGAGAAGGAACUUCCUAUGGUGGAGGAUGUGAUGUCCUAGAAGAGAAGACUGAGGGAAUCUGUGCUCCAAGUCUGCUACGAGGAGUAUUUUGGGGAGCAGGGAGAGAGGUGAAGUGGUUCCUGUUUUUUCUAGCCCAAGCGUUUCCUUUACUGUGGUUCAGAAGUGAAGGGAGGGGUUUUCUGCAGUUACUCCUAACGUGCCAAAGCAGGACCCACCUGGAAACUGGGCAAAACCUUGAACCCAGUAAAAGAGAAAUGGGAAAUGAAAAAUGUUAGAAAGAAGGAGUCAAGGUUAGAAAAUUUCUAGCCUAAAAAAAAGAGUCUUUGUGCCCAGAUAUGGCGGUAAGGGCUGGAUCUGCUGGCUCAAUGCCUCUAAGCACAGCUUUGUAGUGAUUAUGGUACUGGUUUAGGGAGCCUUGCAAAGUGUCAAGAGGUUAGGUAGGUCCUGGAGGUGAUUAUCUAUAUUUUAAAGACCGUAAAUACCUGCUCCUUUUUGAGUACCCAGAGCUAACACUCUGUGUAGUAACUCCAGUGACUGUAAUGUUAAACAGGGCUCAGUCCCUGUUUUAUGUAGUUUUUAGUCAAGAAAUAUUUGGGAUGCUUCCCCUGGAUUUUUGUAUUAUGCCCCCGCUUUUUUCCUAUUAUUCAUAUUUUAGCUUAAAUAUUAACUAUGGUGACAGGCAUUUCCUAAAAGUCGAGCCUACAGUACUUCUUCAUUUCACACAGUCCUAUUGCAAUCAUGAAGACUUCGUAUUUUUCUGUUUCUCUAGUGCUGAUUGACUGUCUCCUCCUUCUCGAAUGUGAGUCCCAUGGGGAACUGGAGCAGACUCUUCCUAGCUGUGUUCCCUCUGCUUGGCAAAUAAUAGGUAUUCAAUAAAGUUCAUUUGGUGAAUGAAGAAAAGGAAAAUUAUCUGACUACAGUUUUGUUGUGAUAGAAUGAGCUAACAUUCGAUCUAAAGAGAACUCCAGAACUCUUUUUAACAUUUUGCUGUGUUUUUGUUCAAUUUCUUGUUUAAACAUCUAACAAGUAUGGUGCAAAAGCAAAAGACAGAAAGUAGUCUCAGCCCACAAGCUUUUAAAACAGCAUGUCUGUAAUUCUUUUUGUUUUACAGUGCUGAAUACAGCAGAGCUUAAUGGAUGCUUUUCUGAGUGAUUGAUUAAUUAAGGUUUAAGCUCAGGGAGGCUCUAACCCAGUGGACCAUUCCUUUGUGAGCAGUUGUUUCUCUCUCUACUGCAGUGCUGUGUGGUGAAUGAGUGUAGAGUUCCUGGAAACUUUAAAGGACAAAGAACAUGAAUUCACAAAAUAAUAUCUACAUGGAAAUAUAUUUAUCUGAUUGAAAAAGCUACAAUUUUAUGUUUAAGUGC
rnacentral:lncRNA from 1 species